UACAGAGGUGCCAAGCGUUGUUCGGAAUUACUGGGCGUAAAGGGUCUGUAGGUGGCCAACUAAGUCAGACGUGAAAUCCCUCAGCUUAACUGGGGAACUGCGUCUGAUACUGGUUGGCUUGAGUGCAGGAGAGGAAUGCGGAAUUCCAGGUGUAGCGGUGAAAUGCGUAGAUAUCUGGAGGAAUACCGGUGGCGAAGGCGGCAUCCUGGACCAUUACUGACGCUGAGGCGCGAAAGCUAGGGGAGCAAACGGG
rnacentral:rRNA from 1 species